rnacentral:tRNA from 1 species
ACUUGAAUAGCUUAUUUUAUUUAGAGCGCGACAUUGAAGAUGUCGAUGAGGUAUUUGUUGCCUUUGAGUA